UACGUAGGGACCAAGCGUUGUUCGGAUUUACUGGGCGUAAAGGGCGCGUAGGCGGCGUGGUAAGUCACUUGUGAAAUCUCCGAGCUUAACUCGGAACGGUCAAGUGAUACUGCUGUGCUAGAGUGCAGAAGGGGCAAUCGGAAUUCUUGGUGUAGCGGUGAAAUGCGUAGAUAUCAAGAGGAACACCUGAGGUGAAGACGGGUUGCUGGGCUGACACUGACGCUGAGGCGACGAAAGCUAGGGUAGCAAACGGG
rnacentral:rRNA from 1 species